rnacentral:lncRNA from 1 species
AGAGUUCGUAUAUGACUCCAGUCCUGGCGCUGGAUGCUGCUGCUGUUCCAGCUUCCUAGGUGUGGAAACUGAAGGACCAAGAGAUUAAACAGGAAUCUCUGAGGACAAAUGGGAAUUCUCACUGAUUUCUAGGACUACCCUGGGGCAGAGAUGGAGUUUCAUCACAUUGCCUAGGCUGGUCUCGAAAUCCUGGACUCAAGUGAUCUGCUGGCCUCAGCCUCCCUAACUGCUGGGACUAGAGGCCUGAGCGACCACCCCUGGCUGUAAACAUUUUCUUAGCUCAAGGAUUGCUGAAUUUGUAUCCAUUUUCUUCUCUCCUAUCUCAAUUGGGUGGGUGAAAUGAUACUGUUAAUUAUUUUCUGUUA